UACGUAGGGGCCUAGCGUUGUCCGGAUUUAUUGGGCGUAAAGAGCUCGUAGGCGGUUCGGCAAGUCGGAUGUGAAAUCUCCACGCUCAACGUGGAGGGGCCAUUCGAAACUGCCGUGACUCGAGUCCGGUAGGGGAGUGUGGAAUUCCCGGUGUAGCGGUGAAAUGCGCAGAUAUCAGGAAGAACACCCGUGGCGAAGGCGGCUCUCUGGGACGGUACUGACGCUGAGACGCGAAAGCGUGGGGAGCGAACAGG
rnacentral:rRNA from 1 species